GUGCUCGCUUCGGCAGCACAUAUACUAAAAUUGGAACAAUACAGAGAUUAGCGUGGCCCUAUGCAAGGAUGACACGCAAAUUCGUGAAGUGUUUCAUAUUUUU